rnacentral:rRNA from 1 species
AGUGAACGCUGGCGGUAGGCCUAACACAUGCGAGUCGAACGGCAGCACAGUAGGAGCUUGCUCUUACGGGUGGCGAGUGGCGGACGGGUGAGGAAUACAUCGGAAUCUACUUUUUCGUGGGGGAUAACGUAGGGAAACUUACGCUAAUACCGCAUACGACCUACGGGUGAAAGCAGGGGAUCUUCGGACCUUGCGCGAUUGAAUGAGCCGAUGUCGGAUUAGCUAGUUGGCGGGGUAAAGGCCCACCAAGGCGACGAUCCGUAGCUGGUCUGAGAGGAUGAUCAGCCACACUGGAACUGAGCCACGGUCCAGACUCCUACGGGAGGCAGCAGUGGGGAAUAUUGGACAAUGGGCGCAAGCCUGAUCCAGCCAUACCGCGUGGGUGAAGAAGGCCUUCGGGUUGUAAAGCCCUUUUGUUGGGAAAGAAAAGCAGCAGGUUAAUACCCCGCUGUUCUGACGGUACCCAAAGAAUAAGCACCGGCUAACUUCGUG